rnacentral:rRNA from 1 species
UCGGAUUUCGGGGCGGGCCGACCGGUCUGCCGAUGGGUAUGCACUGGCCGGCGCGUCCUUCCACCCGGAGACCGCGCCUACUCUUAACUGAGCGGGCGCGGGAGACGGGUCUUUUACUUUGAAAAAAUCAGAGUGUUUCAAGCAGGCAGUCGCUCUUGCAUGGAUUAGCAUGGGAUAAUGAAAUAGGACUCUGGUGCUAUUUUGUUGGUUUCGAACACCGGAGUAAUGAUUAACAGGGACAGUCAGGGGCACUCGUAUUCCGCCGAGAGAGGUGAAAUUCUCAGACCAGCGGAAGACGAACCACUGCGAAAGCAUUUGCCAGG